GAGAUGGGCCAAGCCUUAUUAAGCACAGGUGCAGCUGAGUAUCAACCUCUGCACAAACUGCUCACCCUCCAGUAGUGUAUAGGAUAAUGUAUUUCACUCAGUCUAAGCAAACAGCUGUAGGUGAGCAGAGUUGCUCCAACUGAAUCAGCAGAGCUCCAGAUUCCUGAUGUUACCGUUACCAAAGUCAGUUGCUCAGUAUUUGCUGUACAUGGCCAGCCUCGGCAUAUUGAGAUCCCAUUGGAAGCGGGGUGUGCAGACACGCCUGUGCUCCCAUGAAGUUUGCAGAAGGGGUCCCCAUCACCAUCCUCAUCCUCCGGGAAGGGUCCCUGAGGCCACCACGGACAAAGGGCACACACCAGCAGCCCAUCUCAUGCACCCCAGUGGAGAGGGGCUGUGAGCCUUGGCAUCCCACCUCCAGACUGCUGACACCUAAGAAAGAGAGCCUCAGAGUGGAGCCUGCAUCCUGACCAGAUGUAUGACUCUGAUGACAGCCCUACGAUUGGUCUGAACCACGUCUUGUGUACCUAUGAAGUCUUGCUUAAGCGGAGUAUGAUGGGCCACUGCAAAAGGAUGCAUUCCACCCAAUAUGAAUUACCAGCACACACAUUUUAAGGUCUCUUAGGAAAGUCAGCAGGGCUGGAGGGGGGCUUACAAGGUCAUCCAGUCUAGCUACUUCCUCAAGGCCGGAUCCUCCCUGACUAACCCAUCUCAGCCAAAACAAUGUUUGCUUUCACAAUACCUGUUGCAAAACAAAAGAUGUUGCCUAAUGUGAACUUGUUCCAGUAUUUGUGGAACCAGAGGCCAUUGCAGUUCCACAAUGCACCUGGCAAGCUAGAAAGGAGGAGGAAUUGUACCAACACUGGACGUUACGAAGUCAAAUAAUGAAGUGACGGCUUUCCUAAGCUUCAAAGUAAAUGCCACAGUCACCUUGGGUAAUGAAGUACACAGAAGAGGACUUCAGCUUCCAGCUCUCCUUGCAUUGGAUGCCAUCCUGUGAGUAAUCCUAAGUGUUUCAUAUUUACAUAGCUAAAGUGAAAAAGCAAACCCAACAAACCAUCAUAUCACAUGGCAAGUGCAGAGGGAUGAUGAGAACAGUCUGUGGACAUCUAAUUUGGAGUCUAGCCAGGGCCCUAGGAUGAAUGUUCUUAUUCUUCCAAAAACUUUCCUGAAACUUUUACCCAGGGUGCUCACAUUACUAUAGCAAUUUUUGCAUGGAAAUAUUUUUGUAGGUGAAAUUUAACAGUUGCAUUUAGCUCCGCAUGAGGCCAAUGCAUCUCCACGCUAUUUGAGGCUAGGCUUUUCUCAUAAGCAAAUCAUUAAACAUCCAGAAUGCAAUCAGUCGAGUCCAAAUGUUGAGUAAUUGCUUUGUUUUACUCCAGAUUCUACAAAAAACUGGAGAGUUGUGGGGUUUCACUCUCUAUUUAUUAAUUCUUCCUGUGUCCCACAAGGAAGGAGACCUGCUUCUCAAUCCAGGGACUGGCACCUUCCAAAGUUGGUACAGCCAACCAGGAAGCUACAGCAGUAGCUGUAUAUGGACAGCUGAUAUUUACCUGAUAUAUGUACAGUCCCUGCAAUUUCUAUUCAAGCCAUAUCCAUAAUUUUGUGAAGUAGUAUUGCCAAAAAAAUAUCAGAGCAUGAUGGUUUGGAUUUUUCUGGAGGCAGCCAACUCUUACAAAGAGCUUCCAUGCAGAAUUUGCACCCUGCUAUAGAUAAAUCCCUCUCAGUCUCCAGAGACGGCACCAGGCCCAUGGUAUAAAUUCCCCUCGCUGUUGUCAUAUUAACUGCAGCGUUUGUAGUAAAACGAAAGGAUUAAUCAUUGGCCUGCUGUGUGUGUAUUUUAUUAAAGUCUGGGAGCCUAGUGUAUUUGCUUGCUUGUAGUGAAAGACUAGUGCUAUUCCUGGUAAGUGUAAUCCAAUAAUGGGAGGAGACGUUUUUAUAUUGUAUAUUCAAGCAUGUCAUAAUAUAGUAGCCCGCAGCGGUUUCGAGGAGUUAGUAAUGAGGUGCUGAGAUCUGAGCUUGCUAUGAAAAGGUGGAACCUUGCUCAAAUU